UACGUAGGGUGCAAGCGUUGUCCGGAAUUAUUGGGCGUAAAGGGUGUGUAGGCGGUUGCCUAAGUCUUCUGUGAAAUCUACGGGCUUAGCCUGUAACGUGCAGAGGAAACUGGGCGACUUGAGUGUCGGAGAGGAUAGGGGAAUACCCGGUGUAGAGGUGAAAUUCGUAGAGAUCGGGUGGAACACCAGUGGCGAAGGCGCCUGUCUGGCUGACAACUGACGCUGAGACUCGAAAGCAUGGGGAGCAAACAGG
rnacentral:rRNA from 1 species